rfam:Daphnia magna strain Xinb3 contig33728, whole genome shotgun sequence.
AAAUCGGCCCUUUUCAGUGCCACCAUUUUCGUUAUGAAAUGUUUAU